GGAUGAAGAACGUAGCGAAAUGCGAUAAGUAAUGUGAAUUGCAGAAUUCAGUGAAUCAUCGAAUCUUUGAACGCACAUUGCGCCCGCCAGUAUUCUGGCGGGCAUGCCUGUCUGAGCGUCAUUUCAACCCUCAUGCCCCUAGGGCGUGGUGUUGGGGAUCGGCCAAAGCCCGCGAGGGACGGCCGGCCCCUAAAUCUAGUGGCGGACCCGUCGUGGCCUCCUCUGCGAAGUAGUGAUAUUCCGCAUCGGAGAGCGACGAGCCCCUGCCGUUAAACCCCCAACUUUCCAAGGUUGACCUCAGAUCAGGUAGGAAUACCCGCUGAACUUAAGCAUAUCAAUAAGCGGAGGA
rnacentral:misc_RNA from 1 species